rfam:Mastigocoleus testarum BC008 Contig-78, whole genome shotgun sequence.
GGAGAGGUGGCAGAGCGGUUGAAUGCGGCGCACUCGAAAUGCGUUUUGGCGGCAACGUCAACGGGGGUUCGAAUCCCCCCCUCUCCG